AUUGAACGCUGGCGGCAGGCUUAACACAUGCAAGUCGAGCGGGGAAAGGUAGCUUGCUACUUGACCUAGCGGCGGACGGGUGAGUAAUGCUUAGGAAUCUGCCUAUUAGUGGGGGACAACAUCUCGAAAGGGAUGCUAAUACCGCAUACGUCCUACGGGAGAAAGCAGGGGGCCUUCGGGCCUUGCGCUAAUAGAUGAGCCUAAGUCGGAUUAGCUAGGUGGUGGGGUAAAGGCCUACCAAGGCGACGAUCUGUAGCGGGUCUGAGAGGAUGAUCCGCCACACUGGGACUGAGACACGGCCCAGACUCCUACGGGAGACAGCAGUGGGGAAUACUGGACAAUGGGGGGAACCCUGAUCCAGCCAUGCCGCGUGUGUGAAGAAGGCCUUUUGGUUGUAAAGCACUUUAAGCGAGGAGGAGGCUACCGAGAUUAAUACUCUUGGAUAGUGGACGUUACUCGCAGAAUAAGCACCGGCUAACUCUGUGCCAGCCGCCGCCGUAAGAC
rnacentral:rRNA from 1 species